rnacentral:snRNA from 1 species
GUGCUCGCUUCGGCAGCACAUAUACUAAAAUUGGAAUGAUACAGAGAAGAUUAGCAUGGCCCCUGCGCAAGGAUGACACACAAAUUCGUGAUGCAUUCCAUAUAUAA